UACAGAGGUCUCAAGCGUUGUUCGGAAUCACUGGGCGUAAAGGGUGCGUAGGCGGCGGAGUAAGUCGGAUGUGAAAUUUGGAGGCUCAACCUCCAACUUGCAUCUGAUACUGCUUCGCUAGAGACCUGGAGAGGAGUUUGGAAUUCUCGGUGUAGCAGUGAAAUGCGUAGAUUUCGAGAAGAACGCUCGCAGCGAAAGCGAAACUCUGGACAGCGACUGACGCUGAGGCACGAAGGCUAGGGGAGCAAACGGG
rnacentral:rRNA from 1 species